rnacentral:rRNA from 1 species
GAUGAACGCUAGCUACAGGCUUAACACAUGCAAGUCGAGGGGAAACGAUAGAGAAAGCUUGCUUUUUCUAGGCGUCGACCGGCGCACGGGUGAGUAACGCGUAUCCGACCUGCCCAUCACUUGGGGAUAACCUUGCGAAAGCAAGACUAAUACCCAAUGACGUCCAUAGAAGACAUCUGAAAGGGAUUAAAGAUUUAUCGGUGAUGGAUGGGGAUGCGUCUGAUUAGCUUGUUGGCGGGGUAACGGCCCACCAAGGCGACGAUCAGUAGGGGUUCUGAGAGGAAGGUCCCCCACAUGGGAACUGAGACACGGUCCAAACUCCUACGGGAGGCAGCAGUGAGGAAUAUUGGUCAAUGGGCGAGAGCCUGAACCAGCCAAGUAGCGUGCAGGAUGACGGCCCUAUGGGUUGUAAACUGCUUUUAUAAGGGAAUAAAGUGAGCCUCGUGAGGCUUUUUGCAUGUACCUUAUGAAUAAGGACCGGCUAAUUCCGUGCCAGCAGCCGCCGUAA